rnacentral:rRNA from 1 species
UCGUACUCCGAAUGCUCUCGAUUAUUUAUUUGAUCAUGGCUCAGAGUGAACGCUGGCGGUAGGCCUAACACAUGCAAGUCGAACGGCAGCACAGGAGAGCUUGCUCUCUGGGUGGCGAGUGGCGGACGGGUGAGGAAUACAUCGGAAUCUACUCUGUCGUGGGGGAUAACGUAGGGAAACUUACGCUAAUACCGCAUACGACCUACGGGUGAAAGCAGGGGAUCUUCGGACCUUGCGCGAUUGAAUGAGCCGAUGUCGGAUUAGCUAGUUGGCGGGGUAAAGGCCCACCAAGGCGACGAUCCGUAGCUGGUCUGAGAGGAUGAUCAGCCACACUGGAACUGAGACACGGUCCAGACUCCUACGGGAGGCAGCAGU